rnacentral:rRNA from 1 species
UACGUAGGCAGCAAGCGUUGUUCGGAGUUACUGGGCGUAAAGGGUGUGUAGGCGGUUCUUUAAGUUUGGUGUGAAAUCUCCCGGCUCAACUGGGAGGGUGCGCCGAAUACUGAGGGACUAGAGUACGGGAGAGGAAAGUGGAAUUCCUGGUGUAGCGGUGAAAUGCGUAGAUAUCAGGAGGAACACCGGUGGUGUAGACGGCUUUCUGGACCGUAACUGACGCUGAAACAGGAAAGCGUGGGUAGCAAACAGG